AACAAGGUCUCCGUAGGUGAACCUGCGGAGGGAUCAUUAACGAGUGAGGGCUCCGGCCCGACCUCCAACCCUUUGUGAACCAACCUCGUUGCUUCGGGGGCGACCCCGCCGUUCGCGCGGCCGGCGGCGCCCCCGGAGGCCAUCAAACACUGCGUAAUUUUGCGUCGGAGUUUAAAUCAAAUUAAACAAAACUUUCAACAACGGAUCUCUUGGUUCUGGCAUCGAUGAAGAACGCAGCGAAAUGCGAUAAGUAAUGUGAAUUGCAGAAUUCAGUGAAUCAUCGAAUCUUUGAACGCACAUUGCGCCCCUUGGUAUUCCGAGGGGCAUGCCUGUUCGAGCGUCAUUACACCACUCAAGCCUGGCUUGGUAUUGGGUGCCGCGGGCCUCCCGCGCGCCUCAAAGUCUCUCCGGCUGAGCGGCUCCGUCUCUAAGCGUUGUGGAAACUAUUCGCGGUGAGAGGGGGCGGCGCGGCCGUUAAACUUUUCUUAAAGGUUGACCUCGGAUCAGGUAGGGAUACCCGCUGAACUUAAGCAUAUCAAUA
rnacentral:rRNA from 1 species